rnacentral:rRNA from 1 species
AACGAACGCUGGCGGCAUGCCUAACACAUGCAAGUCGAACGAGACCUUCGGGUCUAGUGGCGCACGGGCGCGUAACGCGUGGGAACCUGCCCUUAGGUUCGGAAUAACUCCCCGAAAGGGGUGCUAAUACCGGAUAAUGUCUUCGGACCAAAGAUUUAUCGCCUUUGGAUGGGCCCGCGUUGGAUUAGCUAGUUGGUAGGGUAAAAGCCUACCAAGGCGACGAUCCAUAGCUGGUCUGAGAGGAUGAUCAGCCACACUGGGACUGAGACACGGCCCAGACUCCUACGGGAGGCAGCAGUGGGGAAUAUUGGACAAUGGGCGAAAGCCUGAUCCAGCAAUGCCGCGUGAGUGAUGAAGGCCUUAGGGUUGUAAAGCUCUUUUACCCGGGAUGAUAUGACAGUACCGGGAGAAUAAGCUCCGGCUAACUCCGUG